ACUUAAAUUGAAGAGUUUGAUCAUGGCUCAGAUUGAACGCUGGCGGCAGGCCUAACACAUGCAAGUCGAGCGGUAGCACAGAGAGCUUGCUCUCGGGUGACGAGCGGCGGACGGGUGAGUAAUGUCUGGGAAACUGCCUGAUGGAGGGGGAUAACUACUGGAAACGGUAGCUAAUACCGCAUAACGUCGCAAGACCAAAGUGGGGGACCUUCGGGCCUCAUGCCAUCAGAUGUGCCCAGAUGGGA
rnacentral:rRNA from 2 species